GACGAACGCUGGCGGCGUGCUUAACACAUGCAAGUCGAACGGAAAGGCCCUGCUUUUGUGGGGUGCUCGAGUGGCGAACGGGUGAGUAACACGUGAGUAACCUGCCCUUGACUUUGGGAUAACUUCAGGAAACUGGGGCUAAUACCGGAUAGGAGCUCCUGCUGCAUGGUGGGGGUUGGAAAGUUUCGGCGGUUGGGGAUGGACUCGCGGCUUAUCAGCUUGUUGGUGGGGUAGUGGCUUACCAAGGCUUUGACGGGUAGCCGGCCUGAGAGGGUGACCGGCCACAUUGGGACUGAGAUACGGCCCAGACUCCUACGGGAGGCAGCAGUGGGGAAUAUUGCACAAUGGGCGGAAGCCUGAUGCAGCAACGCCGCGUGCGGCAUGACGGCCUUCGGGUUGUAAACCGCUUUCGCCUGUGACGAAGCGUGAGUGACGGUAAUGGGUAAAGAAGCACCGGCUAACUACGUG
rnacentral:rRNA from 1 species